CUCCAUCAUUCCUAAGGCCUACCAUUUCUUGAAGAAUGAGCUUCUCUACAAGACACUCUCUUUUUCUGGAUUCUGAAUCAAGUUUCGGAGGGAUUCUGCCAAGAUGGCCUAAUAGGAACAGCUCUGGAAUGCAGUUCCUAGCGAGAGACAUGCAGAAGACAGAGUCUCACUCCAUUACGCAGGCUGGAGUGCAGUGGCACAAUCUCAGCUCACUGCAACUUCUGCCUCCUGGGUUCAAAUGAUUUUCCUGCCUCAGCCUUCAGAGUAGCUGGAAUCACAG
rnacentral:lncRNA from 13 species